rfam:Granulicella mallensis MP5ACTX8, complete genome.
CCCAGGGUUUCACCCUGGGCUUUGAUAGAGCGCGCCCUCAGCGCU